rnacentral:rRNA from 1 species
CUACGGGUUGCACCAGACGAGGAAAUUUUACAAUGCUCGAAAGAGUGAUAAAAUGAGCCAGAAUAUUUCUCUUAGAGAAACUUUUGUCUGCUGUAAAAAUGCAAACGAAUAAAGACUGGGCAAGACCGGUACCAGCCGCCGCAAUAAUACCAACGGUCCGAGUCGUAUCCACAUUUAUUGGGUCUAAAACAUUCGUAGCUUGUUUUGUAAGUCUCUUGUGAAAUCUCAUAUCUCAAGUAUGAGGCGUGCAAGAGAUACUGCAUUACUAGAGACCGGAAGACGUAAGGAGUACGAUUGAGGUAGCGGUAAAAUGUGUUAAUCUUGAUCGGACUAACAAUGGCGAAAGCACCUUACGAGUACGGAUCUGACAGUGAGGGAUGAAGGCUAGGGGCGCAAAAGGGAUUAGAUACCCGAGUAGUC